rnacentral:rRNA from 1 species
AGAGUUUGAUCAUGGCUCAGAACGUACGCUGGCGGCACGCCUAACACAUGCAAGUCGAACGAAGUAGCAAUACUUAGUGGCAGACGGGUGAGUAACAUGUGGGUAUCUGCCCUUUGGCCUGGAAUAACACGAGGAAACUUGUGCUAAUACCGGAUAAGUCUUUACAGAGAAAGCUUUAUGCACCAUUGGAUGAGCCCGCACUUGAUUAGUUUGUUGGUGGGGUAAUGGCCUACCAAGACUGUGAUCAAUAGCUGAUUUGAGAGGAUGAUCAGCCACAUUGGGACUGAGACACGGCCCAAACUCCUACGGGAGGCAGCAGUGGGGAAUCUUGCACAAUGGAGGAAACUCUGAUGCAGCGAUGCCGCGUGAGUGAAGAAGGCCUUUGGGUUGUAAAGCUCUUUCGUCGGGGAAGAAAAUGACUGUACCCGAAUAAGAAGGUCCGGCUAACUUCGUGCCAGCAGCCGCGGUAAUACGAAGGGACCUAGCGUAGUUCGGAAUUACUGGGCUUAAAGAGUUCGUAGGUGGUUGAAAAAGUUGGUGGUGAAAUCCCAGAGCUUAACUCUGGAACUGCCAUCAAAACUUUUCAGCUAGAGUAUGAUAGAGGAAAGCAGAAUUUCUAGUGUAGAGGUGAAAUUCGUAGAUAUUAGAAAGAAUACCAAUUGCGAAGGCAGCUUUCUGGAUCAUUACUGACACUGAGGAACGAAAGCAUGGGUAGCGAAGAGGAUUAGAUACCCUCGUAGUCCAUGCCGUAAACGAUGUGUGUUAGACGUUGGAAAUUUAUUUUCAGUGUCGCAGCGAAAGCGAUAAACACACCGCCUGGGGAGUACGACCGCAAGGUUAAAACUCAAAUGAAUUGACGGGGACCCGCACAAGUAGUGGAGCAUGUGGUUUAAUUCGAAGAUACGCGCAGAACCUUACCAACACUUGACAUGUUCGUCGCGACUUUAAGAGAUUAAAGUUUUCGGUUCGGCCGGACGAAACACAGGUGCUGCAUGGCUGUCGUCAGCUCGUGUCGUGAGAUGUUGGGUUAAGUCCCGCAACGAGCGCAACCCUCACUUUUAGUUGCCAUCAUUUAGUUGGGCACUCUGAAAGAACUGCCAGUGAUAAGCUGGAGGAAGGUGGGGAUGACGUCAAGUCCUCAUGGCCCUUACGUGUUGGGCUACACACGUGCUACAAUGGUAUCUACAACAGGAAGCAAAACGGCGACGUUAAGCAAAUCCUUAAAAGAUACCUCAGUUCGGAUUGCACUCUGCAACUCGAGUGCAUGAAGCUGGAAUUACUAGUAAUCGUGGAUCAGCGUGCCACGGUGAAUGCGUUCCCGGGUCUUGUACACACCGCCCGUCACACCAUGGGAGUUGGUUCUACCUUAAGGCAAGGUUUAAAACCCUUGACCACGGUAUAGUCAGCGACUGGGGUGAAGUCGUAACAAGGUAACCGUA